rnacentral:rRNA from 1 species
CAGCCGCCGCGGUAAUACGGAGGAUCCAAGCGUUAUCCGGAAUCAUUGGGUUUAAAGGGUCCGUAGGCGGUCUUGUAAGUCAGUGGUGAAAGCCCAUCGCUCAACGGUGGAACGGCAAUUGAUACUGCAGGACUUGAAUUAUUGGGAAGUAACUAGAAUAUGUAGUGUAGCGGUGAAAUGCUUAGAGAUUACAUGGAAUACCAAUUGCGAAGGCAGGUUACUACCAAUUGAUUGACGCUGAUGGACGAAAGCGUGGGUAGCGAACAGGAUUAGAUACCCCAGUAGUCCCUGUCUCUUAUAC